UUUGUAAUAGUAACUGUUGUACCAAUAGUGAUUUUCUGUCACCUGUUUUUGCCUCAAUCUAUAGUACAGAAAGUGUGGGAUAUAUAUAAUUUGUUACAGAAAACUGGCGUUCAAAAAUGUAUAUUCGAGAGUGAUUAUAGUAGUGUCAAGCGAUUGUGUAUUGAAACCAACAAUAAAAGCGAACCAGUGUAAAGCGUGUAAUUUCUUUGUUUUAGUUUUGUUUUAAGCGAUAGCAACGAUCGUGUUGCUACAGCAAACUCGCUCUUAUUCCCGAGUACUGUAAACUUACAAUUUCCUUAAGCCUUCAGGCUACUGAAUUUGACCUGUUUAGCGCAGAGACACAUUGAGCAGCUCGCGUGCUCCUUGCGGCUGUCGGGACAGAAGAAUGUUACUAAAUUGUAAACAGUAUACUGUAGCUGUGUGGGAAUUAAAAGGAAACUCCUGCCGGCCUCUCACACACAUGUGAAAUAAAUCAGGAAAUCUAUGUCGCGACUUCGCUGCUGCUUUUGUCUACGGAUGAUAUGUCGCUCGUGAGAAACGUUCAGGAUCUUUUAACUGAAAGUAAUCAACUUGCUCUGCAGUGAUCUCGGCAGCUGAAGUAACGCAUCGAGCAAACGAAAGAACAAAAGCAUUUCUGGUGUGUAAAUAAUUCAAGAAUACAAAUCUGAUGACAUCUUUUAUGUAAAGUUCAGUUAAUGUUUACGGUUAGGCAAGCGUCGUAGAUUAAAGGAUUUAUGAUUAUGGGGAAAAAAACAUGGGGCAUCAUAGCGUUCUAAACAUCCAAAAUCUUCUGAGCAAGUGACUGCAGGCUGCCCUUGUGCUCUUGAAGCUGACAGCAGCACGUAGAGGAUUUCCUGUGUUCGGCGCGGAAGAAUCGCGGUUGCUCCAGUAGGUUGUGUGUUUGGCUGAAUUUGAGGCGAUUUCCUGUGCUGGCGGAGUGAUCUUAGCUGCGCCUCUCUUCAAUGCAAGUCAAUGUGAAUCUGCAGCUCCGGAGAACAUGGCGACUUCACUGCAUGAGGGACCCGCUAACCAGCUCGAUCUGCUUAUCAGAGCCGGAUCGUCCGACCAAUCGGCUGUGAGAGAUGUUCGAAAUCCGCCACAGACCCAAUAGCUGUGCGUGGUGUGAGAGGCGGGGAAGCGCCGGCUGGCCAAUGGGAGUCUGGGCGGGGGAUGAUAGACAGGUCGCUGCGAGAGCGUCUGCGGAGGGAACUGGAGGGAAAGAGUGUAAACACGGAAGUCAGAAGGGACAGCACUACUUUUUGCAGAACCGCUAUACAGGAUGCAAUUAAAUAGUACCGUUUUAAUUACCCAAUUUUUAGAGAUUGAAGACUAUUUAUGCAACUGUUCUCCAUCGUAUAUUUUCUUUUGGCUUUACAUUGAUGUUAUUCUAAUGAAGAGUUUUAGUACAGCUGUUUUUUACAUGCACAUUUUUAGGAUAGUUGACAAAAACAUCGUUAUACGCUGUGUAAAUAUUAUUGACUUACAAUGUCCAAUAACCUGUUACAGAGAAACUGUCCUUUGAAUUUUUAAAGCCGCACUAGAUCAAUGUUUACACGGUACCUAUUUUUAGAGCGUUAUCUUUUUUCUAUCUUUUUCCACUUCCAGCAGUUAAAGAGUCUCCAGUGGCUCUUGCAGUUUUUUAACACGCUUAGAGUAGCCUUAGUUUCCUGCUCCUUUAAUCGUGGCACGUUCUUCAGUUACUUCUGCCAUUCAUGAGUUGAAACGACAACGUAGGUGUGAUUGGGGUAGAGUGAGGUGGUGUCUAAUGACUCGUUUUUUUAAAACUGCAUUUUGCAUUUUAUUUUUUGUGCCCGAAGUCAAAGUCAACGGUUUCCGCAGACGACCCAAUCACUUUUGUGACCGUUUUUGUGAAUUAAGUGCUUCAGAUGAAGAACAUCAGAGCAGUCCUGUCUUCUUUUCCUGCUGCUUCUGCUUGAUUUCCAUAAUAAAACUGAAAUUUUAAACCUUUCAUCAAUAUGUCAUCACUGAAGUACUAUACCUUAUUAAAAAAUACUUGUGACUUUAAAA